CCUACGGGUGGCAGCAGUGGGGGAUAUUGGACAAUGGGGGGAACCCUGAUCCAGCGACGCCGCGUGAGUGAAGAAGUAUUUCGGUAUGUAAAGCUCUGUCAGCAGGGAAGAAAGAAAUGACGGUACCUGACCAAGAAGCCCCGGCUAACUACGUGCCAGCAGCCGCGGUAAUACGUAGGGGGCAAGCGUUAUCCGGAAUUACUGGGUGUAAAGGGAGCGUAGACGGUUAAGUAAGUCUGGAGUGAAAGGCCGGGGCCCAACCCCGGGACUGCUUUGGAAACUGUAUGGCUGGAGUGCUGGAGAGGCAAGCGGAAUUCCUAGUGUAGCGGUGAAAUGCGUAGAUAUUAGGAAGAACACCAGUGGCGAAGGCGGCUUGCUGGACAGUAACUGACGUUGAGGCUCGAAAGCGUGGGGAGCAAACAGGAUUAGAUACCCGGGUAGUC
rnacentral:rRNA from 1 species